UCCCUGGUGGCUCAGUUGGUAAAGAAUUUGCCUGCAAUGCAGGAGACCUAGGUUCAUUCCCUGGGUAGGGAA
rfam:TPA: Bos taurus chromosome 5, whole genome shotgun sequence.